CUACUAUUAUUUACUGCUGCUGUUCUGCCCGGUGCAUCCCAUGCUGACGCUAAAGGGAGAUUUUUGCGUCAAUGUCUGACACUGAAGCGUUAGUAUUUUACGAGU